GAUGAAGAACGCAGCGAAAUGCGAUAAGUAAUGUGAAUUGCAGAACUCAGUGAAUCAUCGAAUCUUUGAACGCACAUUGCGCCCUUUGGUAUUCCGAAGGGCAUGCCUGUUCGAGCGUCAUUAUCACCCCUCAAGCCCCCCGGCUUGGUGUUGGACGGUUUGGCGGAGGCCCUCCGGGGCCCUUGCCCCUCCCAAAGACAAUGACGGCUGCCUCGUUGGACCCCCGGUACACUGAGUUCUUUACGGGACACGUACUGGAGUAAGGGUGCACGGGGCACGGUCUGCCUCCCCUCAGGGAGAAUCUUUUUUUACAAGGUUGACCUCGGAUCAGGUAGGGAUACCCGCUGAACUUAAGCAUAUCAAUAAGCGGAGGA
rnacentral:misc_RNA from 1 species